rnacentral:rRNA from 1 species
AGCGAACGCUGGCGGCAGGCCUAACACAUGCAAGUCGAACGGACCUUUCGGGGUUAGUGGCGGACGGGUGAGUAACACGUGGGAACGUGCCUUUAGGUUCGGAAUAGCUCCUGGAAACGGGUGGUAAUGCCGAAUGUGCCCUUAGGGGGAAAGAUUUAUCGCCUUUAGAGCGGCCCGCGUCUGAUUAGCUAGUUGGUGAGGUAAUGGCUCACCAAGGCUACGAUCCGUAGCUGGUCUGGGAGGACGACCAGCCACAUUUGGACUGCGACACGGCCCAAACUCCUACGGGAGGCAGCAGUGGGGAAUCUUGCGCAAUGGGCGAAAGCCUGACGCAGCCAUGCCGCGUGGAUGAUGAAGGUCUUAGGAUUGUAAAAUCCUUUCACCGGUGAAGAUAAUGACUGUAGCCGGAGAAGAAGCCCCGGCUAACUUCGUGCCAGCAGCCGCCGUAA